rnacentral:rRNA from 1 species
GAGACAGCAGUAGCCACGGUAAUACGUAGGUCCCGAGCGUUGUCCGGAUUUAUUGGGCGUAAAGCGAGCGCAGGCGGUUAGAUAAGUCUGAAGUUAAAGGCUGUGGCUUAACCAUAGUACGCUUUGGAAACUGUUUAACUUGAGUGCAAGAGGGGAGAGUGGAAUUCCAUGUGUAGCGGUGAAAUGCGUAGAUAUAUGGAGGAACACCGGUGGCGAAAGCGGCUCUCUGGCUUGUAACUGACGCUGAGGCUCGAAAGCGUGGGGAGCAAACAGGAUUAGAUACCCCCGUAGUCCCUGUCUCUUAUACC